UUCUAGUAUUGGUCUAGUUACUGGUGCCGGUAGGUAAAUUGCUCUUCGUUGUGUGGGCUUCUUUCAAUUGAUUGAUUGCAAAUGUGAAAAAUAAUGGGUGGAAGUUUAUUAUUUCUGUAAGAUUUCCAUCUAGCAAACUCUUGAUGCAAUCUUUGAACUUGGCAGUUCAUAGUCCAAAGCUGAUUUAUUGACACUUUGAUUGGCUGCGACCAAUAUUAAGAGGUACUUCAGAGGCUGUUAUCGAAUGGGUAUAGGUUCUCUUUGAUAUAUUGCAGUUAAGUUGGCUAUUUUUUUUUUCUUGUUAUGAGAAGAAGUUUUUCUUUAGAAAUACGCUGUCAUUGUUUUGGGAGUUCAUACGGUUCUUGCAAGUGAAUCUCUCAUGCUGUGAUUUUUUUAAUUUUAUUAUUUUGGAAUGGGAUUUUACUUGAAUGAAUUUGGGAUAUGGAUUAACGAAGGCAGCAUUGGGAUCCUUUCAGUUCCAGAAGUUUAACCCUUUGGUGUUUUCUUUUGAAUUCUUUGUAGCAAUCGACUAUUGCUACAGAGAGUUUUAUUAUUCAGUGUGGAUGUUUAU
rnacentral:misc_RNA from 1 species